rnacentral:rRNA from 1 species
GGACUACCAGGGUAUCUAAUCCUGUUUGCUCCCCUUGCUCUCGUGCCUCAGCGUCAGGAAAAAGCUAGAGAACCGCUUUCGCUACCGGUGUUCUUCCAUAUAUCUACGCAUUUCACCGCUACACAUGGAAUUCCGUUCUCUCCGCCACUCCUCAAGAAACGCCGUUUCAGAUGCAGCGCUGAAGUUGAGCCCCAGCAUUUCACAUCUGACGUACAUUCCCGCCUACGCACCCUUUACGCCCAGUAAUUCCGACUAACGCUUGCACCUUCCGUAUUACCGCGGCUGCUGGCAC